rnacentral:rRNA from 1 species
GACGAACGCUGGCGGCGUGCUUAACACAUGCAAGUCGAACGAGUGGGGACGGGUGAGUAACACGUGGGUAACCUCCUCAUCAGAGGGGUUAACACUUGGAAACAGAUGCUAAACCCAUACUGCUGGAUGGACCCGCGGUGCAUUAGCUAGUGGGUGGGGUAACGGCUCACCAAGGCCACGAUGCAUAGCCGGCCUGAGAGGAUGAACGGCCACACUGGAACUGAGACACGGCCCAGACUCCUACGGGAGGCAGCAGUAGGGAAUAUUCGGCAAUGGACGAAAGUCUGACCGAGCAACGCCGCGUGAGUGAAGAAGGUUUUCGGAUCGUAAAGCUCUGUUGUUAGAGAAGCGGUAUCUAAACAGAAAGCAACGGCUAACUACGUGCCAGCAGCCGCGGUAAUUC